GACAGAGGGGGCAAGCGUUGCUCGGAAUUACUGGGCGUAAAGCGCGCGCAGGCGGCCCUUUAAGUCCGUCGGUCAAAUGCCGGGGCUCAACCCCGAUGCAUGCCGAGGAUACUGGAGGGCUGGAGACACGUAGAGGCAAGCGGAAUUCCGGGUGUAGCGGUGGAAUGCGUAGAGAUCCGGAAGAACACCGGAGGCGAAGGCGGCUUGCUGGGCGUGAUCUGACGCUGAGGCGCGAAAGCGUGGGGAGCGAACAGG
rnacentral:rRNA from 1 species